ensembl:lncRNA
CCCAUUCAUUCAUUCAUUCAUUCAUUCAGCCCCCGCCCACCCCCCCGCCCCUCCCCUUCCGUCUGGAGAUCAUUUAGCCACGUGUGCGAUCAUCCUCCCUUUUGCCCAUCCUUCUGAAGCCUGUUUAUUUAUCUCCUAUUAUCUCCGUUUCUCUGUCCUCCAUUCUCACUUGCUCUCGGAUACUCAUACAACAUCAGGGAGUGUCUAGAAGCUUACUUCCACUCUCAUUCUCUCCCUCCCUCCCUCCCUCCCUCCCUCCCUCUCUCUCUCUCUCUCUCUCUCUCUCUUACACACACACACACACACACACCCGGCACAUACAAACACGUGUGUUCCCCCAAAACAUGUCUGCCUCCUCUCUCUCUCAUAUACACACGCUCAAAGACACACCCACCCAGACACACACACACACACACCCAGACACACACACACACACACAAAAUCCCUGAUUUUCUACAGACACAAUCAGGCUGAAGCCACGCCACACCAGUCCUCAGCCCACACCAAAUCAAAAGAGAUCCCUAGAGACAGACAUACAGACAGACAAACAGACAGACACACACACACACACACACACACAGACACACACACACACACGCGCACAGUGAGCCAGUCAUGCAGCCAUAAAAGCGGGCACUUACCUCUCUUCUGCAGCCAGCCUUCUUUGACGAUAGUAACAUCGCUCAUGGUGUCUCUCCACACUGUGCCUGCCUGCCUGCCUCCGCUACAGACGGACUCCCCGGCUCACAGAGAGAGAGCGAGGGAGCGAGGGGGGGGGGGGGGGGGGGCAGGAGAGAGGCAGCAGAGAAGGAGAGUGGGAAGGAGAGGACGUGAGGUGGGGGGGGAAGAAAAAGGAGGAGGAGGAGGAGGAGAAGGAGGGGGUCAGACCUCCCAGCCUUCGUCGGCGUGCAGAUUAGAGCGUGGGCUCCCUCCCUCCUCUCUCCUUCUCUUUAGUUGUUGUCUCUUUCUCUCCGUCGGUCCGUCUCUCUCCCUCUCUCUCUCUCUCCCUCUCUCUGUUGUGGCUCAGCUGGACUCGGGGCGGCGUGCCGUCUCCUUUCCUCUCGUGGCCGUCACUCCGGUUCGCUCACACACUCUCUCAAGUCUCUCACACCGGUUCGUUCACUCUCCUCCCUCCCCUCUCUCUCUCUCUUUCUCUCUCCGUUUCUCUCUCUUUCUCUCUUUUUCUCUUUUUCUCUCUUUCUUCACCAGACCUUCCCACUCUCUGAUGGUGACUCAGCCUGUCAGAGUAAUGGUGAUGGGGAGACACCAGUGGAUUCCCCCGCGCUUGGAAUCCUCCUCGAGUCUGUGAGCGUCUUCCUUAUUUACGACACAGAGAGAGGCUGCCUACCAGACAACCCCCAGUCGAGCAGAAUAUAAUGAGGAGUAAAACAAAAAAAUGAAUACCUUUCCGAGGUUUAGUUAUAAUUGUCUCUGCGGUCGAGAGGACCUAAUGGACAGUCGGCUGUGGGUCAACAAGGUGGCUGCUGCUCCUGCGUUUCCCCGGAACCGCCGUUGAGUCUCUAACGCUUGGCUUGUUGUUGACUUUCAGGAAAGCCAGUGACGUCACGUCACUUCUCGUAGGGUACGGCUUCCCCCUCUCUCUUUUCCUCUCUCCGCUGUCUACCGAACGCCAAGCUCAGAUGGUCCCUGCGUCCGUCUGCCUCCUCUCGUACCGUACUCACUCUCCUCCGUGCGUCGUCGCUCUGGCAAGUCAGCUCUCGCGAGAUCUCGUGAGGGAUGAGCGGAGAUGUCAAAGCCCAUACCUGUGAACUAUAUGGAGGAGCAUUAGUUGUGACCUGUGACCUUGCUGACGAGGAUGCUCAAACAUUUAGGAAAAAUACUUUAAUUUGAUUUAUUCGCUCAGGUAGAUUGAACAACAUUAAUAUAAUUCAGCUCUGUGUCUCACUAAUGAACCAUGCACUCCUGUACAACGACAGACCUAUCAACCAAUUUGUUAACCAAAUUCUGUUGGGUGUAACAUGAUUAAUAUAUGCUACAUGAAGGAUGAUACACAUUUCAACAAAAAUUCGGAAACUUGAAAAUCCGAUCGUUGUGCUUGAAAUUGAGUAAUUACCUUCACCAAGGAGGUUAUGUUUUCAGUGUGGUUUGUUAGUCUGUUUGUUUGUUUGUUUGUUAGCAGGAUUAGGCAAAAACUACCAAGCUGGUUUUCAUGAAACUUGGUGGAGGGGUGUAGCAUGGGACGAGGAAGAAUCUAGUGAAUUUUGGGAUGGAUCAAAAUCACAGGGCUUAUCCACAAAUUAUUUUUCACUUUCACUAACUUUGUGAGAUAGGGUAUUUGGCCUUGGAUGAGGUCUACAUGUUCCCUUCUAGUUGAACAUGCAAUGAUUUACCAAACAGGAUAUUAUAAUAAUACUCCCAGACAAUGAAAAUAACCCACGGUACACGGCAUACACACUGCCAGUGGGAUUGUUUGCUUUACAGUACUGCAGUACGGACAAACUACACUAGCCCAAGGCCUAUGAAUAAAAUAUUGUUUUAUUUAAUGAAGGGUCUAAUC